GCCUUGCUGGCUCCGCUGGUGGAGCAUGGGGCUCUUGAUCUCCAGGUCGUGAGUUCAAGCCCCACGCUGGGCG
rnacentral:tRNA from 1 species